AUAAUGGAAGGUCAGCUGAAAAGACACAAAUUGUAGCUGAAAAGUAGAAUUUCACGAACACCAUCUCAAUACGUCCAAUCAGCCAUUGAUGUGUCUAUCAAAACUCAACGUAGCUGGAGAACCAUCACUAGAGAGACCCCAAUUUCUGAUUCUUCUUCUAUUGGGAGUGUGUGUUUUUCCACCUCAAACAAGAGAAGAAGAAAAAAAACACCAGGAGCAAAUUUCUGAGCCGUAGGAAUCGUUCAGCAACUCUCGUCUGUUGUAUCUCCUGCACCUCGCCACACCUACCAGCUUAGCUUGGAGAUGUGCAGCUCGAUUAGCAACUUCAAAUGAAACCACUGUAACCAUCAAGAUUGACAAAUGAAACGUGAAUGCACGCUAAGUAUUUAGACAAGAACAAAUUCUACCAGUAACUCAUGUGUCUUGGCAGCAUACCAUUUCAACACCUCAAGCUCUCACCAGGUGCAUGAUAUACUUACCAAUCGAACAUACUUCAGACAUCAUAAGCAUAAUGGUUCCUUGCUUAUCUGAGUAGACUCAUUACCAUCGCUCUUUGCAGAGCCACUAAUUGUAUGAGUAUCAGACUGUUGAUCAUCACCUUGCAAGACAGACCCGAAUGCUUUUGUGACCCACUCCUCGGUUGAACUUAUAUCCUCUACCCUUUUAUCUUGAGAUGGGUUCCCUUUAUCCCUUGUAUCAUUAUUUUCUAUAACAUUAGUGUUUGAAGUACUGGUGCAUGUCAUUGUGUUCUCAUCUUGAGCAAGAGCCUCAAAUUUAUUCUCCACCACGGUGGUUAACUGAGGUGAGAUAUUCGUUUUCCCCUUUUAUCCCUCACCACCUUCCACUUACCAGGGUCCCCGACUACUUUCCCACUUGAAAGUAUUAUGGCUCCUCCUUUUUGAAGUGUUUAACCUUUUGCAGCUUGCAGCGCUUGUUUGAAUUGUGCUUUGUCCUGCAUCUGUUGCGUAUUUUUCUCUCCAAUACUCCUGUAAUUGAUCACUUUACAAUUCUCUUUGUUAUGCCCUUGCAUCUUGCAUUCAAGACAAUAUUUAGGGACAUAAUCAUACUGAAUUGCAAUCAUAUUAGUCCUUAUUUCUCCUGUCUCCACAUUCUCUAUGUUCAUUUGUACAACUUUAGGAAAAGAACCUUUAAGAUCUACCAACACCUUCACACAUGCACAACUAGGCCUUGUCUUGUUUAUAGUUGCUUGAUCUAGAUGAAUAGGUUUUCCUACUGUCGACGCUAGGGAGAAAAGACACUCUUUGACAAAGAACGUGGGUAAUAAGUUUGGAAAAGUUAUCCAUGACAUGGCCAUUGAUGUUUCUUCAUUAACUCUAAAUCUAGAGUCAUAGAUCAGAGUACACAUCAAAUACGAGUACCCAUUCUUACACGUGAUAUAGAAAGCUCUCUUAGAGAUAAGGUUAACAAAAUCUUCAUGUAGGUCCAGACGAAUAAGAAUGUGUUUACUCCGAAAUAAGCCAAUCUGACACCCUCCUUUCACCUUGCAUUAGCUAGGAAUGAUUUUCCUUAAUUCUUCAAGAUCAGACCACUCAUAUGUGAACUUUCCAAUCACUGCAUAUUGGAGGUCUUCAAUGUGGUUCAUUCUUUCUACUUCUUCCUCCGUCCAUUUUACUUAAGGAAUUCCCCCUACCAAACUGAUAUCCCUCCGUAAGGAUUCAUGAUCAUGUGAAUUUUUCUCCUCUCUCACAGUCAUAGAAUCAACAUAAGAUUUCUCAAGAGGCAGAUUAGGGAUUAUGGAAUCAGUAC